UCGGAGCCGCAGGUUCAUUGGCCGGAAACGCAGCUGGCUGGGCCCGACUCCGACUCUAGGGGGCUGGGGGCGGGGGGUGGAUGGCUGCUCUGGUCACCUGGGUCCCCCCGCCCCGCGCUCCGCAGGGCGAUGCUCCGGGGAUGGGGCCGCCCUGCCUGGAUGGGCUGGGCCGGCUGUGCGUGUUGGUUACACGUACGAACUGUCCCAGCAGGUCGGGCUCCCGAGAGAUUUGAAUUAGCUUGAUGAAGUUUUGCGUGUGUGUCCACCAUGGAAGCUUCUCCCGGACCCCAGAGGACCCUCGCGCCCAUUCCCAGGCGGGGACCCCUCCCCAGGCCAGAAAGACCGAGUCCCCCCGGCGUCCCUCUCGUCUUGCGUCCUGCACUCUGCCAACCGCACUGAGCCUCAGGCCAGGAGCUGCGAAGACAAGACCUUGCUCUGCCCAGCCCCCUCCUCCCCUGAAGAUCCGCUUCUGUUCACUGUCCAGAACCUUCAGGUGUUUGCUUUUGGCAUCACGCUCAGGUUUUAUCAUCGUGCUCGGGAAGGGAAUCAUUCGGUCGUUACCAGACGUGGAAGGCCUCUGCUUGCCUCCCAGGGCCCUUCGAGUGCCCUUUUAUCUCCCGGCUGGCUCUUGGCGGGAGAAGGGGAAGAGAGGAGAACUUUUUCAGCACUGGGUUCCAGCUGGUUCUCUUACUCACUAGCUGCAUGUCCUUGGGCAGGCGGCCCCCCUCAGCUUAGUUUUCCCAUCUUCGGAGCCUGGUGCCGUGGGACUACUGCAUGAAGGGGGAAAGGCGUGCAUUCCCACAGUGCUGGGUCCGAGCUUGGUCCCGUCACUGUCUUCCCAAGCAUCUCUGGUGCCCCUGGAAGAAGAAGUCCAAGCUGGUGCUGGCCAGGGUUUCAGCCCCAUUAAUUCCUCCAAGCGGUUGGCUCCGGGAAAGGCCUUUUCUUAUUUCCUGCCAGGAAAAUCAAACUGUAGAAACCGACGCAGGGCUGUGCCAUUCAGAAUCCUCGCACUUGACGUCCCCAAACCAGUUCUGCUCAGUCGGCUCCGCUUCGAAGCCACUGCCAGGGAAAACACGACGCAGGGAGAAGCUGUGCGGCCCAUGCAAGACGCUGCAGAAUCGGGCCCUGGCCCCGGGCGGGCUCCCACAGCGCUGCUGUCCUGCUUCUGAGACUGGCUGGUUUGUUUCCCGGACACUUGUUUACUGAGCGUCCACUGUGCCCGUCGCUGCGCUGGGUGCCGGGGCCACAGCAGCAAACAAGGCACACAGGUCCUGCCUUCACAGAGGGGGCGUCUGGCCGGAGGCCUGGAUGUGAGCUUCGCCAUCGCACCCGGGGGUAAAGCCACAGAUGUCCUAGGGGGUGGAGGGGGGGGCAUGGUGUUGUGUGUGCAUAAGGCAGGGACUUGAUUUGCUCAAGGAGGCUGGUGGGAGGCCCCGGGGAAGUGACAUUUCAGCUGAGGUCUGGAGGAUGAGUGGAAUUUAACAAGGAUGAGGCACAGGCCCUGUGGUGGGUGGGGCAUGGUAAGUUCCAGAACAGACAUGGGGUGGGGUGGGAGAACACCGUGGGGAGAUGGGCAAGGAACGUGACGUAACAGAGGUGUGCCAUCGAGUUGCCCGAGUUAGCAAAUAAAAAUACAGGAUGCGCGGUUCAACUCGAAUUUUAGGUGAGCGCCAAAUAAAUUUUGUGGCAUAAGUA